GACGAACGCUGGCGGCGUGCUUAACACAUGCAAGUCGAACGGAAAGGCCCUGCUUUUGUGGGGUGCUCGAGUGGCGAACGGGUGAGUAACACGUGAGUAACCUGUCCUUGACUUUGGGAUAACUUCAGGAAACUGGGGCUAAUACCGGAUAGGAGCUCCUGCUGCAUGGUGGUGGAUGGAAAGUUUCGGCGGUUGGGGAUGGACUCGCGGCUUAUCAGCUUGUUGGUGGGGUAGUGGCUUACCAAGCCUUUGACGGGUAGCCUGCCUGAGAGGGUGACCGGCCACAUUGGGACUGAGAUACGGCCCAGACUCCUACGGGAGGCAGAAGUGGGGAAUAUUGCACAAUGGGCGGAAGCCUGAUGCAGCAACGCCGCGUGCGGGAUGACGGCCUUCGGGUUGUAAACCGCUUUCGAAUGUGACGAAGCGUGAGUGACGGUAAUGGGUAAAGAAGCACCGGCUAACUACGUG
rnacentral:rRNA from 1 species